GGGUGAGUAAUACAUAAGUAACCUGGCCUUUACAGGGGGAUAACUGCUGGAAACGGCAGCUAAGACCGCAUAGGUAGGGACACUGCAUGGUGACCGUAUUAAAAGUGCUGCAAGGCACUGGUAGAGGAUGGACUUAUGGCGCAUUAGCUGGUUGGUGAGGUAACGGCUCACCAAGGCGACGAUGCGUAGCCGACCUGAGAGGGUGACCGGCCACACUGGGACUGAGACACGGCCCAGACUCCUACGGGAGGCAGCAGUAGGGAAUUUUCGGCAAUGGGGGGAACCCUGACCGAGCAACGCCGCGUGAAGGAAGAAGGAAUUCGUUCUGUAAACUUCUGUUAUAAAGGAAGAAAGACGGAUGGAGGAAAUGACAUCCGAGUGACGGUACUUUAUGAGAAAGCCACGGCUAACUACGUGCCAGCAGCCGCGGUAAUACGUAGGUGGCAAGCGUUAUCCGGAAUUAUUGGGCGUAAAGAGGGAGCAGGCGGCAGCAAAGGUCUGUGGUGAAAGACUGAAGCUUAACUUCAGUAAGCCAUAGAAACCGGGCAGCUAGAGUGCAGGAGAGGAUCGUGGAAUUCCAUGUGUAGCGGUGAAAUGCGUAGAUAUAUGGAGGAACACCAGUGGCGAAGGCGACGAUCUGGCCUGCAACUGACGCUCAGUCCCGAAAGCGUGGGGAGCAAAUAGGAUUAGAUACCCUAGUAGUCCACGCCGUAA
rnacentral:rRNA from 1 species